rnacentral:rRNA from 1 species
UACGGAGGGUGCAAGCGUUAUCCGGAUUUACUGGGUUUAAAGGGUGCGUAGGUGGGUAGGUAAGUCAGUGGUGAAAUCUUCGAGCUUAACUCGGAAACUGCCAUUGAUACUAUUUAUCUUGAAUACUUUGGAGGUAAGCGGAAUAUGUCAUGUAGCGGUGAAAUGCUUAGAUAUGACAUAGAACACCAAUUGCGAAGGCAGCUUACUACACAAAUAUUGACGCUGAGGCACGAAAGCGUGGGGAUCAAACAGG